GACAGCUCGGGUUGCCAGUCUCCGCCAGACCCUUCAUUUCUCCUGACACUCGUUACGGCCCAGUGAGAGGCAGCCAUUUCCCCUGCACCUGUGACUGACCACACAAAGGAGCUCCGCUCUGGCUUCAAUAAAACAUGUAUGAAAUGAAGCCCAGGAGUCAAACAAAGUAUUUAAUUUCAGGGUGGUCUGAGGAACAUCGCUUGGGAAGUGGCAUCAGUGAGUCGUAGAGGAUUGUCAGAGGCAGGCCUGCCCCCAACUGACGGAGGACAAGGAGUGUGGUAGUCCUCAAGGAGCUGUCGCAUCAGGUUUAUCCUGUACUGCUGGUACAAGAUCACCUGUCCUGUGACCUGCUGGUGGACAAUGUGGCGGUUGACGAGAGCUAUAUCUAUUAGGUUGAAAAAUAGCUUCUUGUAACAUUUAAGGGACUUUAUGGCACACUAAACAAAACUGUUCUGCAUGUCCACUUUGUCAACUGCUCCCAUCCUCUUGUUGUACUCCAAGACACAGUCUGGCUUCAUUUUCCUCUCUCCAGUGACAGUCUAGUUCCCCUGUGUCCGACAUUUUGGAGGUGUGCACAGUGGACAGAAAAUGGACAUUGCAUUUGCCGUGCCAUUUUACUGCCAAUAUCUCCUCGUUUGUUUGGAAAUCUACCUCCUCCUUGCUCAUUUUCCAUAAGCCCCUGUGUUCUCCCUCAAACGGUACUGUAAAAGGGUAGGGUGCUGUACCACAAAUACAGAUUGCCCCUUUCCGAGUUAAGGCUACAGCAUGGUGAUCACCACUGAUGUAGAAAUGGCAAAACC
ensembl:lncRNA